GUGUCAGCAGCCGCGGUAAUACGUAGGGUGCAAGCGUUAAUCGGAAUUACUGGGCGUAAAGCGUGCGCAGGCGGUUCGGAAAGAAAGAUGUGAAAUCCCAGAGCUUAACUUUGGAACUGCAUUUUUAACUACCGGGCUAGAGUGUGUCAGAGGGAGGUGGAAUUCCGCGUGUAGCAGUGAAAUGCGUAGAUAUGCGGAGGAACACCGAUGGCGAAGGCAGCCUCCUGGGAUAACACUGACGCUCAUGCACGAAAGCGUGGGGAGCAAACAGGAUUAGAUACCCUGGUAGUCCACGCCCUAAACGAUGUCAACUAGCUGUUGGGGCCUUCGGGCCUUGGUAGCGCAGCUAACGCGUGAAGUUGACCGCCUGGGGAGUACGGUCGCAAGAUUAAA
rnacentral:rRNA from 1 species